GGGGGCGACCUGGCUUCGACGUGGGUUACAAAACCUGAGGUGCAUGCCGAGGUGCAGGAUACCUCGUAAAUCCAUCUGCAAACUAUUAGUUGCCAACGACGACAACUACGCACUCGCAGCUUAAACCCCUGUAGGGUGCCGUCUGACUGGAGCCGUGCUUGUGCG
rnacentral:tmRNA from 1 species